CGCCACGCCCAGGCUUUGCCUCUUUUGAAAAGCACAUCAGACAGUGAGGACAACUCAUGGUCCCAAACCGUGGUCUAGGGGGCGUCUUGCCUGGCUUCCAAAGCUCAGUUCAACACUAGAAAUGUGACAGCUCGGAGCCGCACCAGAGGCCAGGACCACAGCGGCAAAUAGGCAUGACCCGUCCCGGCUGCAAGGGAGCUCUCGGGUGGCCGCAGGUGGAAGAGCCACCAGGCGGGAGUCCUGCUCUCAGCUCCCCAUCACCAACCGAGAGGAGCAACCGCACUAGGAUGUAUGGACAAACAGCUCCACGAAAGCCCAUCUGGAGAGACGCUCCCCACACUAGGACCCCUGGAAGCUCACCAGGGAGCCCCCCGCGCUGGUCAUUUGUGGAAGCCAAGGUCGGCGAUAGAGGCCUCUGGGUGGAGGCCUGUGACGAAACCAAGUGGGGAGGCCCUGAAGAGCCCUGUGCCUAGUGGGGGGGCCACGAGCACAUCCUCUGACAGAGGACGGAGAGCUGACCUCAGUGAACCCAAGCGCACUCCUGGCCUCAUCCUGCGCUCCCGGGGACAGCCCUAGGAGCGUCCAAUACAGCCCUCUGCAGCUGGGCCACCAGCAUCUGAGCCACCUGGUCUUCCACUGCCCCCACCAGCCCUCAGCCAGCCUGUUACUGGCCCUGCCCCAUCUCUUGUCCUCCUCCCUGACCCCACGGAGACCCCUGCCCUCGAUGACCCCGUCCUCAAUGAUAUUGCUGGGGUGGGGGGAGAGGGUCCUGCUCAAUGCCCAGGAAGAAUUGAGAUGGGGCAAGCAGGGGGCUUUGGAUUUGGAGUCUGGAUAGUUCCCUGAGCAAGCGCCUGUCCCUCUGGGCCUCAGUGUCCCCAUCUGUAUGCGGUGAGUGUCGAAUUGUGCUAAGGUUUGCAUGUGACUUGUCCCCAGUGAAAUUCAUGUUGGCAUUGAUUCCCACUAUAAGGGGGUUGUGGGGUGGUGGCAACUCUAAGGGGUGAUCAGGUUGUUACGAGGGACUAACCCCCUGCUGCGGCACUCGGCUGCUUCUCUUGGGAGUGAGUUCUCGCUCUCUGGGGCGAGGCUAGUUACCAUGGGAGUGGGUGGUACACGGCGAGGCUGCCCCUUGCGUUUCUCUUCUGCACACACCUGCUUGCCCUUUCGCUUCCCACCAUGAAUUAAAGCAGCACGAGGUCCUCACUGCUGCCAUGUUCUUGGACUUUCAGCCUCCACAACCCUCAGCCCAAAUAGACCUCUAUUCUUCAUAAGUCUGCCGGUCUCAGGUAUUCUGUUAUAGCAACAAAGAAAUGGACCAGGAGUCCCUGAGGGAUCUCUGAGGUUGUGACCGAGGCCCCUGUGAGCCAGGACAAGCCCAGCCACACAACAGGCCUGGGGACCAACCACUGCCCUCAGACUGUCAGUCACUUUUGUCCUUUGCUCCCUUUGUCUGCUCACGAGACCCUCCUCAGCCAGCCCACAGAACUGCUUCUGCCUCACUGCACCCCACAAAGCAGCUGAGGAAAGCCCGCCUCCCACAGCUCCCAUUUCUCGCAGCCCCUGGGCAUUCCUUGAAUCACAUCCAAGGUAGAAUGGCCAGGGGACAUUUUCCAUGCAGGGGACGCACUUCCAUGGCAUCUGUGGCUGUGGAUGGCUGCAUGGGCCUCACGCAUGCUCUGCUGAAUAUUGGUUCCCUGGCUCUGUGAAAAAUGUGAGAGCCAUCCUUGGCCUGCUGAGUGGACCAGAGCCGGCCACCAGCUGGGCCAGGACCACGGGCUGUAGCUACCAACUCCUGUGCAGAUGGCCCAAGGCGCCAACCCACAACUUCAGGACACCACUGCUCCCCCAAGCUGGCGGCAUGUGGUCUGGGGUAGGGCAGGCCUCACAGGUGGAAGGACCGGAUGGUCCGUGGCCCAGGCCUCAUGGUUCACUGGCUGCAGGACAUCUAGCCACUCGACCCCUCUGGAUAUCCAUCUCCUCACCUGGAAAAUGAGUAACACCUACUGUGAUCCAGGAAACCACCCCGUGGGCGGCUCCCAGAGCACCCUCCACAGGCGGACGCUGCUCCUUCCUCCCUGAACACCACGAGUGUUGGGUAGAGGGUCUCCCCUCUCAGGACUGGCAGCCAGACAGCAGCCCUUGACCACCCGGGGGCUCUAGGACAGCAAGGGGCCCGCCGGCCGCUAGACUAGUGGACUGCAGCCACACAGCGUGCCAGGGGCUGCGAGUGGAGACACAGGUGUGUGGCCUCACAGGACCACCUGUUCACUAAGGGACACGGACGUGUGGUCAGGUGGUCAGAGCACAGGCUGAGGCGGGCCUUGAGAGACAGGCCUGGGGACCACAAAGGGGGGGCUACUGGGGGCUCAGGAAGCAGCUGA